UGCCUCAGUAACGGCGAGUGAAGCGGCAACAGCUCAAAUUUGAAAUCUGGCCGCAAGGUCCGAGUUGUAAUUUGCAGAGGAUGCUUUUGGCGAGGUGCCUUCCGAGUUCCCUGGAACGGGACGCCAUAGAGGGUGAGAGCCCCGUACGGUAGGACCACCGAGCCUUUGUAAAGCUCCUUCGACGAGUCGAGUAGUUUGGGAAUGCUGCUCUAAAUGGGAGGUGUACGUCUUCUAAAGCUAAAUACCGGCCAGAGACCGAUAGCGCACAAGUAGAGUGAUCGAAAGAUGAAAAGCACUUUGAAAAGAGGGUUAAAAAGUACGUGAAAUUGUUGAAAGGGAAGCAUUCAUGACCAGACUUGGGCUUGGUUGAACAUCCGGCGUUCUCGCCGGUGCACUCUGCCAGUCCAGGCCAGCAUCAGUUUGCCCCGGGGGACAAAGGCGGUGGGAAUGUGGCUCUCUCCGGGGAGUGUUAUAGCCCGCCGUGUAAUGCCCUGGGGCGGACUGAGGAACGCGCUUCGGCUCGGAUGCUGGCGUAAUGGUCAUCAAUGACCCGUCUUGAAACACGGACCAAGGAGUCGUCUUCGUAUGCGAGUGUUCGGGUGUCAAACCCCUACGCGAAAUGAAAGUGAA
rnacentral:rRNA from 1 species